rnacentral:rRNA from 1 species
GAGACCCACGCCCACAGUUGCCAGCGUACUCUCCGGAGUGACGGGUACACUGUGGGGACCGCCGCUGCUAAAGCGGAGGAAGGAAUGGGCAACGGUAGGUCAGUAUGCCCCGAAUAUCCCGGGCUACACGCGAGCUACAAUGGUUGGUACAAUGGGUAUCUACCCCGAAAGGGGAUGGAAAUCUCCUAAAGCCAAUCUUAGUUCGGAUUGUGGGCUGCAACUCGCCCUCAUGAAGCUGGAAUCCGUAGUAAUCGCGUUUCAACAGAACGCGGUGAAUAC